UACGGAGGGGGCGAGCGUUAUUCGGAAUUAUUGGGCGUAAAGGGCGCGUAGGCGGCUUCUUAAGUCAAAGGUGAAAUCCCUCGGCUCAACUGAGGAACUGCCUUUGAAACUGGGGAGCUUGAGUCCGGGAGGGGGUAGCGGAAUUCCCAGUGUAGCGGUGAAAUGCGUAGAUAUUGGGAGGAACACCAGUGGCGAAGGCGGCUACCUGGACCGGAACUGACGCUGAUGCGCGAAAGCGUGGGUAGCAAACAGG
rnacentral:rRNA from 1 species